rnacentral:rRNA from 1 species
CAAGACAACUUUACGGAGUUGACGAUUGACGGAGCGAAGCGACGUCAAAGCGUUCAUUAAAGUCGAGUUGGCUUAGGGAUACGUUCGUUGGGUAGGGGAGCGUUCUGUAAGCCUGUGAAGGUGUGUCGUGAGGCAUGCUGGAGGUAUCAGAAGUGCGAAUGCUGACAUAAGUAACGAUAAAGCGGGUGAAAAGCCCGCUCGCCGGAAGACCAAGGGUUCCUGUCCAACGUUAAUCGGGGCAGGGUGAGUCGACCCCUAAGGCGAGGCCGAAAGGCGUAGUCGAUGGGAAACGGGUUAAUAUUCCCGUACUUGGUGUUACUGCGAAGGGGGGACGGAGAAGGCUAUGUUGGCCGGGCGACGGUUGUCCCGGUUUAAGCGUGUAGGUGUGUGUUCCAGGUAAAUCCGGUUCACUUUAACAC